rnacentral:rRNA from 1 species
AUCUACAGACAUACCAUCCUUAACACACUGCUUUUGUCUGAUCUUGGAAAUUAAGCAGGGUCGGGCCUGGUUAGUAUUUGGAUAGGAGAUGUGGAAGGGGGAUAACAAGCACAGAGUUG